rnacentral:rRNA from 1 species
AUUGAACGCUGGCGGCAGGCCUAACACAUGCAAGUCGAGCGGAUGAAGGGAGCUUGCUCCUGGAUUCAGCGGCGGACGGGUGAGUAAUGCCUAGGAAUCUGCCUGGUAGUGGGGUAUAACGUCCGGAAACGGGCGCUAAUACCGCAUACGUCCUGAGGGAGCAAGUUGGGGAUCUUCGGACCUCACGCUCUCAGAUGAGCCUAGGUCGGAUUAGCUAGUUGGUGGGGUAAAGGCCUACCAAGGCGACGAUCCGUAACUGGUCUGAGAGGAUGAUCAGUCACACUGGAACUGAGACACGGUCAAGACUCCUAAGGGAGGCAGCAGUGGGGAAUAUUGGACAAUGGGCGAAAGCCUGAUCCAGCCAUGCCGCGUGUGUGAAGAAGGUCUUCGGAUUGUAAAGAACUUUAAGUUGGGAGGAAGGGCAGUAAGUUAAUACCUUGCUGUUUUGACGUUACCAACAGAAUAAGCACCGGCUAACUUCGUG